AAAGGGCUGGUUAAUUUAUAACGUAAGCUUGUCGAGUUUAAGUUGCCGUGAUGGUGCUCUUUU
rnacentral:tRNA from 1 species